GGUCAAGCAAUGAAGCGCACACGGUGGAUGCCUAGGCAGCCAGAGGCGAUGAAAGACGUGGAAGCCUGCGAUAAGGCUCGGCGAGGUGGCAAACAACCUGCGACCCGGGCAUCUCUGAAUGGGGAAACCCACUCACCAUCAGGUGAGUAUCUUGCGCUGAAUCUAUAGGCGUAAGAAGCGAACCAGGGGAACUGAAACAUCUAAGUACCCUGAGGAAAAGAAAUCAACCGAGAUUCCCCCAGUAGCGGCGAGCGAACGGGGAGUAGCCCUUAAGCGUGAGACUGAUUAAGCGAACGUGUUGGGAAACACGGCCAUAGCGGGUGAUAGCCCCGUAGCUGAAAAUCUGAUCACGUGAAAUCGAGUAAGUCGGGGCACGAGAAACCUUGACUGAAGACGGGGGGACCAUCCUCCAAGGCUAAAUACUCCUGGCUGACCGAUAGUGAACCAGUACCGUGAGGGAAAGGCGAAAAGAACCCCGGAGAGGGGAGUGAAAUAGACCCUGAAACCGUGUGCGUACAAGCAGUGGGAGCCGACUUGUUCGGUGACCGCGUACCUUUUGUAUAAUGGGUCAGCGACUUAUAUUCUGUGGCGAGGUUAACCGAUUAGGGGAGCCGUAGCGAAAGCGAGUCUUAACUGGGCGUACCAGUCGCGGGAUAUAGACCCGAAACCGAGCGAUCUAUCCAUGAGCAGGGUGAAGAUUGAGUAACAUCAAUUGGAGGCCCGAACCAGGAUCUGUUGAAAAAGAUUUGGAUGACUUGUGGAUCGGAGUGAAAGGCUAAUCAAGCUCGGAGAUAGCUGGUUCUCCUCGAAAGCUAUUUAGGUAGCGCCUCACGUAGCACCGCCGGGGGUAGAGCACUGUUUCGGCUAGGGGGUCAUCCCGACUUACCAACCCGAGGCAAACUCCGAAUACCGGUGAGUG
rnacentral:rRNA from 1 species